rnacentral:hammerhead_ribozyme from 1 species
UGACUGCUGAGGAGUCCUAUAUAGAACGAAACGGCCGUCCAGUGC